AGCGAACGCUGGCGGCAGGCUUAACACAUGCAAGUCGAGCGGGCGUAGCAAUACGUCAGCGGCAGACGGGUGAGUAACGCGUGGGAACGUACCUUUUGGUUCGGAACAACCCAGGGAAACUUGGGCUAAUACCGGAUAAGCCCUUACGGGGAAAGAUUUAUCGCCGAAAGAUCGGCCCGCGUCUGAUUAGCUAGUUGGUGAGGUAACGGCUCACCAAGGCGACGAUCAGUAGCUGGUCUGAGAGGAUGAUCAGCCACAUUGGGACUGAGACACGGCCCAAACUCCUACGGGAGGCAGCAGUGGGGAAUAUUGGACAAUGGGCGCAAGCCUGAUCCAGCCAUGCCGCGUGAGUGAUGAA
rnacentral:rRNA from 1 species